rnacentral:rRNA from 1 species
GUAACGAUAAUGCGGGAGAGUAACCCGCACACCGCAAGACCAAGGUUUCCUGAUCAACGCUAAUCGGAUCAGGGUUAGUCGGGUCCUAAGGGUAAGCCGAACGGUGAUCUCGAUGGACAAUCGGUUAAUAUUCCGAUACUAACAUACACCUCGAUGGAGAGACGAAGGAACGUAAGUGUCGCCACCUGACGGAAUAGGUGGUUAAAGGGCGUAGGUAAAGGAGCAGAUUAAGAGUUAGCUACUGCUGAGACCCGACAGUACGGAGCGGCUACGGCCAAUCCGAUAGUGCACCCAAGUAGACUUCCGAGAAAAUCUUCUAAGUUACAGUGUAUGUUACCCGUACCGUAAACCGACACAGGUGGUCGAGGAGAGUAUCCUAAGGUGCUCGAGUGAAUCACGGUUAAGGAACUAGGCAAAUUAACCCCGUAACUUCGGGAAAAGGGGUCCCUAUGAAAGUAGGGCGCAGCGAAAAGGUCCAGGCGACUGUUUAUCAAAAACACAGGGCUCUGCAAAUUCGAAAGAAGACGUAUAGGGCCUGACACCUGCCCGGUGCUGGAAGGUUAAGAGGGGAUGUCAUCGCAAGAGAAGCAUUGAAUCGAAGCCCCAGUAAACGGCGGCCGUAACUAUAACGGUCCUAAGGUAGCGAAAUUCCUUGUCGGGUAAGUUCCGACCUGCACGAAUGGUGUAACGAUCUGGACACUGUCUCAACCGUGAGCUCGGUGAAAUUGUAGUCCCGGUGA